AUUGAACGCUGGCGGCAUGCCUUACACAUGCAAGUCGAACGGUAACAGGUUAAGCUGACGAGUGGCGAACGGGUGAGUAAUAUAUCGGAACGUGCCCAGUCGUGGGGGAUAACUGCUCGAAAGAGCAGCUAAUACCGCAUACGACCUGAGGGUGAAAGCGGGGGAUCGCAAGACCUCGCGCGAUUGGAGCGGCCGAUAUCAGAUUAGGUAGUUGGUGGGGUAAAGGCCCACCAAGCCAACGAUCUGUAGCUGGUCUGAGAGGACGACCAGCCACACUGGGACUGAGACACGGCCCAGACUCCUACGGGAGGCAGCAGUGGGGAAUUUUGGACAAUGGGCGCAAGCCUGAUCCAGCCAUGCCGCGUGCGGGAAGAAGGCCUUCGGGUUGUAAACCGCUUUUGUCAGGGAAGAAAAGGUUCUGGUUAAUACCUGGGACUCAUGACGGUACCUGAAGAAUAAGCACCGGCUAACUACGUGCCAGCAGCCGCCGUAACAC
rnacentral:rRNA from 1 species